rnacentral:lncRNA from 1 species
CUGACUGCAGACCCUCGAUUGUAUAUGAAAAUUACUGGCAAUGCUAUGUUACAGUUGGGGCCCUUCUUAUAUUGGACAUUUCUGGCUGCAUUUGAAGGGACAGUGUUCUUCUUUGGGACUUAUUUCCUUUUUCAGACUACAUCCUUAGAAGACAAUGGAAAGAUUUAUGGAAAUUGGACAUUUGGAACCAUUGUUUUUACAGUCUUAGUAUUCACUGUAACUCUGAAGCUCGCCUUGGAUACCCGAUUCUGGACAUGGAUAAAUCAUUUUGUGAUUUGGGGUUCUCUGGCCUUUUAUGUUUUUUUCUCAUUCUUCUGGGGAGGAAUUAUUUGGCCUUUUCUGAAACAACAGAGAAUGUAUUUUGUGUUUGCUCAAAUGCUCUCUUCUGUAUCUACAUGGUUGGCUAUAAUUCUUUUAAUAUUUAUCAGCCUUUUCCCCGAGAUUCUCCUAAUAGUAGUAAAGAAUGUGCGAAGAAGGAGUGCCAGGGUAACGAACCGCCUCCCUUCCUCAGGAACAUCUACUAUCUUCAUGCUUUCUCAAACUUCCAGCAAUCACAGUUUCUCUUGGAGUGAAUAAGAAUCCGAAUCUUGAACUGCCUAUGUUAUUGUCCUACAAGCAUAUUGACCGUGGUUGCAGCUAAAG